rnacentral:piRNA from 1 species
GAGACUAGGAACGAACCGCCCUUGCCUA